rnacentral:tRNA from 1 species
GCCUGGGUGGCUCAGUCGGUUAAGUGUCUGACUUCAGCUCAGGUCAUGAUCUCGUGGUUUGUGGGUUCGAGCCCCACAUCGGGCU